AUGUUAUAUUUUUCUAUAUUUUC
rnacentral:miRNA from 1 species